rnacentral:tRNA from 1 species
AGGAAAGAAGCUACAAUUAGCAAUUAGUUGUUACCUAAUAGAAAGUGAUAUUAUUCACCUUUCCUA